GCGCCGGUGGUGUAAAGGCGUAGAGCAUUCCCGCCCGGUCAGAGGGAUGUGCGGGUUCGAGUCCCGCCUGGCGCU
rnacentral:tRNA from 1 species